AUUGAACGCUGGCGGCAUGCCUUACACAUGCAAGUCGAACGGCAGCACGGGGGCAACCCUGGUGGCGAGUGGCGAACGGGUGAGUAAUACAUCGGAACGUAUCCAGUCGUGGGGGAUAACCAGUCGAAAGAUUGGCUAAUACCGCAUGAGAUCGAAAGAUGAAAGCGGGGGACCCGCAAGGGCCUCGCGCGAUCGGAGCGGCCGAUGUCGGAUUAGCUAGUUGGCGGGGUAAGAGCCCACCAAGGCGACGAUCCGUAGCUGGUUUGAGAGAACGACCAGCCACACUGGGACUGAGACACGGCCCAGACUCCUACGGGAGGCAGCAGUGGGGAAUUUUGGACAAUGGGGGCAACCCUGAUCCAGCCAUGCCGCGUGUGUGAAGAAGGCCUCGGUUGUAAG
rnacentral:rRNA from 1 species